rnacentral:rRNA from 1 species
UACGUAGGGGGCGAGCGUUGUCCGGAUUUAUUGGGCGUAAAGAGCGUGUAGGCGGCCAGGUAGGUCUGCUGUGAAAACUCGAGGCUCAACCUCGAGACGUCGGCGGAAACCAUCUGGCUAGAGUCCGGAAGAGGAGAGUGGAAUUCCUGGUGUAGCGGUGGAAUGCGCAGAUAUCAGGAGGAACAUCCGUGGCGAAGGCGGCUCUCUGGGACGGUACUGACGCUGAGACGCGAAAGCGUGGGGAGCGAACAGG